GCAGAUCUGUGAGUAAGGAGCCAGCUGCAGGCAAGCAGCUCGAGGGCAGGUGGGCAUGAUGUCUGGCUACCACUCGCACUGGACGCCACACACACAGCCAGGGUGGCAGAAGGCCCCACCUGCCAUGUGCCAGUGGGACACCACCCUCAUGGUCUGCGUUUCCAGGUUUCCAACUAAGGACUGAGCACACUCUCAACAUGGACCUCCUAACUGCUCUCGAGGAUGGACAGCUGGCCUCAAGGGAACACUGCAAAGUGGCUCUAGGAAGAAGCCACUGUCCCUCCAGACCAUAAAAAUGGCUACCAAGGGCAGAGCCAGCAGCUUUCGCUGUAAAGUUUCUCAAGAAAAUCACAGAUAUUCCCCUCUGUGAUGUUCAGCUCAGCCUGGAAAGGAGAGGUAGAAACUGAGAGUUGAAGAGGCUGAAUAAUUUCUCAAGCACACUCCCAACUCGACCACCCACAAGCAAAAAGGCAGAGCUGGGAUUCAAACACAGGUAUGACUGUGUGUGGACAUCUCCCCUGUGCUAUGCUCCCUGAAGGAAAAUUCUAAGUGGUGUUGUUUCUGGGAGAAAUCUACCUGUGUGGUCUUUAAACCUACUCUGACAGGAGCAAGGGCCACCACUCUGU
rnacentral:lncRNA from 10 species